GAUGAACGCUGGCGGCGUGCCUAAUACAUGCAAGUCGAGCGAACGGACGAGAAGCUUGCUUCUCUGAUGUUAGCGGCGGACGGGUGAGUAACACGUGGAUAACCUACCUAUAAGACUGGGAUAACUUCGGGAAACCGGAGCUAAUACCGGAUAAUAUUUUGAACCGCAUGGUUCAAAAGUGAAAGACGGUCUUGCUGUCACUUAUAGAUGGAUCCGCGCUGCAUUAGCUAGUUGGUAAGGUAACGGCUUACCAAGGCAACGAUGCAUAGCCGACCUGAGAGGGUGAUCGGCCACACUGGAACUGAGACACGGUCCAGACUCCUACGGGAGGCAGCAGUAGGAAAUCUUCCGCAAUGGGCGAAAGCCUGACGGAGCAACGCCGCGUGAGUGAUGAAGGUCUUCGGAUCGUAAAACUCUGUUAUUAGGGAAGAACAUAUGUGUAAGUAACUGUGCACAUCUUGACGGUACCUAAUCAGAAAGCCACGGCUAACUACGUGCCAGCAGCCGCGGUAAUACGUAGGUGGCAAGCGUUAUCCGGAAUUAUUGGGCGUAAAGCGCGCGUAGGCGGUUUUUUAAGUCUGAUGUGAAAGCCCACGGCUCAACCGUGGAGGGUCAUUGGAAACUGGAAAACUUGAGUGCAGAAGAGGAAAGUGGAAUUCCAUGUGUAGCGGUGAAAUGCGCAGAGAUAUGGAGGAACACCAGUGGCGAAGGCGACUUUCUGGUCUGUAACUGACGCUGAUGUGCGAAAGCGUGGGGAUCAAACAGGAUUAGAUACCCUGGUAGUCCACGCCGUAAACGAUGAGUGCUAAGUGUUAGGGGGUUUCCGCCCCUUAGUGCUGCAGCUAACGCAUUAAGCACUCCGCCUGGGGAGUACGACCGCAAGGUUGAAACUCAAAGGAAUUGACGGGGACCCGCACAAGCGGUGGAGCAUGUGGUUUAAUUCGAAGCAACGCGAAGAACCUUACCAAAUCUUGACAUCCUUUGACAACUCUAGAGAUAGAGCCUUCCCCUUCGGGGGGGGCAAAGUGACAGGUGGUGCAUGGUUGUCGUCAGCUCGUGUCGUGAGAUGUUGGGUUAAGUCCCGCAACGAGCGCAACCCUUAAGCUUAGUUGCCAUCAUUAAGUUGGGCACUCUAAGUUGACUGCCGGUGGCAAACCGGAGGAAGGUGGGGAUGACGUCAAAUCAUCAUGCCCCUUAUGAUUUGGGCUACACACGUGCUACAAUGGACAAUACAAAGGGCAGCGAAACCGCGAGGUCAAGCAAAUCCCAUAAAGUUGUUCUCAGUUCAGAUUGUAGUCUGCAACUCGACUACAUGAAGCUGGAAUCGCUAGUAAUCGUAGAUCAGCAUGCUACGGUGAAUACGUUCCCGAGUCU
rnacentral:rRNA from 1 species